rnacentral:lncRNA from 1 species
GAGUGAAUGGAAGCGAGAUGGUGUUCAAUUCACCUCUGCUCUUGCCAUACCUUCUUCACCAUCGGACUUCACCAUCGGAGACUAUAUCCUCAAUCUGUGAGCCAAACAGACCGUCCCGUUAGUAUGGAACCUCAAGGUCUUUAUGACAAUGGAAACAAAAAAAUUGAUUGGCAAACCGCUUCAACCAGCAAGACCUGUUCGUCAUCUCUCUUCUCCUCCAGGACCAGUGUUCCCUUUCAACUUUCAGAAUGAAUAUCCAUGCAGCACUCAAUGCUUACAAAGUGGAGUGGGCAGAUGUAAGACGAAUGGAAUGCAAGCCUUUUCUCAAGGUCUUAAUGAGCAACAGCAACACCAGUCUCCAGUUAAAAAAGAGAGAAUUAAAUAUAGCAGAGAUUUCUUGUUGAAGCUUUCAAGUGUUUCCAUCUGCAGAAAAAAACCAGACUUUCUGCCUGAUCACCCCAUUGUACUUCAAAAACCAGAAAACAACCAAAGUUUUAAGUAGCAUUUUAAGAACAGAUGAAUUUGAAGAUAAAGAAUUAUUCAUUUUAUAUUUUGGACACCUGCAAAUGAAGUGGACCUAGUACAAUAACUAAUGGACUGUGACGAUUCAAUUUAUUUUUACUUUUGAUGGUUAGCUAUUUGGCUUCUCAUAAAAGGAGAAAGAGAUAUUUUAAAGUAUAAAGAAUUUUUCUAAUCAGUUUCAGCUUUGCAGGCAGUUCCUGCAAAAAUUGGGAAGUAACACUCGAAAGUG